rnacentral:lncRNA from 10 species
GGCCCUGCCCUGCCCACCCGAGCCUGCGCCGCGCGCCGCGCGCCUCGCCGCCCGCCUCGGCUCCGCUGCUCCUGCGCCUUUCGCGGGCCCGCGAGCGCGCUUUGGGCCUUCCACGCAGUGCGGCCUGCGCGUCAGGGACUUCUUUGCGGCUUAGGAGGAUGUUGGAUUGUUUUUCCUGGGCACGUCUAGACAGGUCACAUGAGGACACUCGCUGGAAAAUAGUUACUUCGCUCACGCAGCAGCCAACAAGGGACGUGCCCUAAUUGAGUGAUUGGAAUGAAAGAUGAAUACAAUUUGAAUAAUUUUUUCCUGUGCAGAGAGAAGCUGAGUUUUAUUUGCCUGUGGAUGUGUCCUCAGUAUGUAACAAGGUGCUGUGACACGGAAGAAUCACAUAAAGAGAUGGUGUCUCACUCUGUCUGUCAGGCUGGACUGCAGCCUCAGUCUCCUGGGCUCAAGCAAUUCUCCAGCCUCAACCUCCGGAGUAGGUGGGACUAUAUGCGUGUGCUACCGUGCCCGGCUAAUUUUUUCAUUUUUAGUAAGAGAUGAGGGCUUGCUGUGUUGCCCAGGCUGAUCUUGAACUCCUGAACUUAAGUGAUCCUCCCACCUCGGCCUCCCAAAGUACUGGAAUUACAAGCAUGAGCCACCUUGUCUAUUUUCUUUUUGUUGUUGUUAAUUUGUGUGUGUGUGUGUGUGUGAGAUGGGAGUCUCACUCUGUCGCUGAGGCUGGAGUGCAAUGGCGUGAUCUCAGCUCACCACAACCUCCGCCUCUCGGGUUCAAGCGAUUCUCCUGCCUCAGCCUCCCGAGCAGCAGGGACCACAGGCAUGCGCCACCACGCUAGGCUAAUUUUGUAUUUUUAGUAGAGAUGGGGGUCUCUCCAUGUUGGUCAGGCUGGUCUUGAACUCCCAACCUCAGGUGAUCCGCCCACCUUGGCCUCCCAAAGUGCUUGGAUUACAGGCGUAAGCCACCAUGCCUGGCCCACCUCAUCUAUUUUCAGAGGCUGAGAUUUAUUGCCGCUAACUUCAGGGUUCCACCCAAGCCAUUCCUACACUUAUUCCACUGUCCCCACUGGCCUCUCCUUAAACACCCCCUCCUGUUAGGACUCCUGCUUGCUCCUUAUCUUGCUAUCUCUACAGAGGUCUUGGUUCUGAGGCUGGAAACAGAAGGGCCUCUGGAGUGAAUAACACAUGGUUCUGUGGGCUUUGAGUGUCACGCAGAGGCAUCAUCUUAAAAGACAAUCUCGGCCAGGCGAGGUGGCUCAUACCUGUAAUCCCAGCACUUUGGGAGGCCGAGGUGGGUGGAUAACCUUAGGUCAGGAAUUCGAGACCAGCCUGGCCAACAUGGUGAAACCCCGUCUCUACUAAAAAUACAAAAAUUAGCUGGGUGUGGUGGUGCAUGCCUGUAAUCUCAGCUACUGGGGAGGCUGAGGCAGGAGAGUCGCUUGAACCUGGGAGGUGGAGGUUGCAGUGAGCUGAGAACGCACCACUGCAUUCCAGCCUGGGCGACAGAGUGAGACUCCAUCUCAAAAAUAAUAAAUAAAUAAAUAAAUAAAUAAAUAAAUAAAUAAAUAAAUAAAUAAAAUAAGUGUUUGGAUCAUGAACACUUAUGUGGUUCAUAAAAGUGAUUGAGUUUUCAUGUUCAUGUGUUGAAUGUGCCUCCCUCAAACCUUGUUAAGUCAUCAGCACAUUACCCAUUUGAUGUGAACUUAGAAAAAAAUAAAAGAGGGCCAGAUAACAGUGGCUCACACCUGUAAUCCCAGCACUUUGGGAGGCCAAGGUGGGUGGAUCACUUAAGGUCAGGAGUUUGAGACCAGCCUGGCCAACAUGAUGAAACUCCGUCUCUACUAAAUAAACAAAAAUUAGCUGGGCAUGGUGGUACAUGCCUGUAAUCCCAGCUACUCAGGAGGCUGAGGCAGGAGAAUCACUUGAAUCCAGGAGGUGGAAGUUACAGUGAGCUGAGUUGUCACCGCUGCAAUCCAGCCUGGAUGACAGAGUGAGACUCUGUCUCAACAAAAAAAAAAAAAAAAAGAAAAUGUUUUUAUUUAAAGAAAGACAUUUACUCAGGUGUUGCAUAGCUCUAGCAAAAAUGAGGAAGAUGGUUCCACAAACCACCUUGGCUUGAGGAAUAGGAUUUGAUGCUUCUGGCUCCUCCCAACUCUGAUGUUCUCCAGUCUACGAUGGACCAUGGCGUCUGACUGUCUAGAAAAAUCCAUGAUGAAGGAAAGUUGGGUAGUGUACAAGAAAGCAAGCCUGCUUGAAGGCAUGCAUUGAAUUACACAGGUUGGGUCCCAAUCCACAGAAAGCCUUUUGCCUUUGAAAGUGUUACCAGGCGGAGCACUGGGGCUCACGCCUGUAAUCCCAAUACUUUGGGAGACCAAGGUGGGAGGAUUGCUUGAGUCUGGGAGUUUGAGACCAGCCUGGGCAGCGUAGGGAGAUCCUGUCUCUACAUAAAAUUUAAAAAUUAGCUGGGCAGGCUGGGCGCGGUAGCUCACGCCUGUAAUCCCAGCACUUUGGGAGGCCGAGGUGGGCGGAUCACCUGAGGU